GUGCAUCCUGUCAGAGUUAGGUUACCCGGUUUGGUAUUACAGGCACAAGUAAAAAAAUUAGAUAAGAAAAAUGACAGUUAUACAUGAGAGAGCAAGUACCCAUCGCCUUGCUUUAAGACAAUUCAGAUGAUCAUCACUUGCAACUUUGCGGAAAUUCUCAAGUUCUGAUUGAACCGUGUCUUUUUCCUCCAUCAAUUCCUUCAACUGUUCUUCCAGCUGGAAAUCCAUUACAUUAUGUAUUUUAAAACAAGGUGAUUAUUGUAAAUGUAGCUAGUUACCAUGAAUGUGAAGAUUAUUAGAAAGUGAUUUACUAAGACUAACCAAACCUUUUUAAUCUGUUCAUCCUUCUCCUUCAGAACCUCAGCAUGAGUUGGGCAAGAGGCUGAUCCAGGAAACUUGAGCUCAUUCUCCAACCUCUUUGCAAACAAGAGCGUGUUCCUCGACUGCUCGACGUGGCAGUGCGCCGGGCUCAUCGUGCAGAUGAUGGCUGUCCUCGCGUUGCCUCCCAAAGACGACUGCAAUAUGCGAGUGAGCUUGGAGUCUCUGUAGGGGAUAUGGCCGUUUCUCCCUCCGCUGCAUCAAAAGCCAACUAGUUCGUCAGAGAGCUAGGGCUUGUACUUCGAGAAGUAUGGCUUGAAAUUCAACAAACCUGAGCUGGCGAAUGACCUUGCCCAGCGUAAGAAGACUCUUGUUGAUAUGACUGCCCUCCUUUAGCCUCAUACCGCUCGCUGCUGUCUGUGAUGCACGUUCACUUCCUGCCAGAUCAACGAAGUUCUGCGCAGAAGGAGAAGCUCAGACCUCAGAGGCCAUGCAUGGAACUGUAGUAUCGUCGAAAGAAUCUAAAACACAGGAAGAAAUUAAGGUGUUCACUUCAUACCACGCAAGCCUGAAGGGUGCUGGAGUUGCCUUUCCCCAGGAACUGCUUCGCCGAGCUCUCAACCGUCUGCAGUUUACACAGGAGGUUAAGAACACAAACAAAUUCUCGCAGAACAUGAAUGACUACCGAUCGUCGUUCAGUGUGAUAAGUCCAUAAGGGCACCUACCAGUCUGAGUAUUUGAUGAGACCUAGAACUCGUUUCGUUCAAGGCGGUCUCCCCGAUCUGUCUUUGAGCUGUGGCACGACACAAAUGAGUGAUCAAAACAGUAAUGAACCAGUUGAGCAGCCUGCGCAUAUGUUAUUUCCAGUUUCGGCGAUUCAGUGGAAAAAAGAAAAGAAGGAUUCAGCUCCACACCUUCACACACAGCAAGGAGCUCCAGGAGAUGGCCUUUGUCCCUCAGAGUUUCCUCGCUAGAAAAACAGUUUUAGUUCACCUCUGGGUCGUCGAGGAGCCGGAGAGGGGUGGUGUCGGAGCUGAGGAGGUCCCUGACGGCCUCGUUGUAUAUCUCCAUGGCGGAGAACCUGAGGAUGAACUCCCUGUCGGGAUGCUGAGUUGAAGACCCGAAACAGAGCACAGGUUAAGGGCAGACAAAGCAAACCAACAGCAGCAGAGCCAUGCAGACAAUGCACGGUAUGCACCUGGUCUAUGUAGGCGUAGAUUUCGGCCAUGCUGUGCUCGGUGAUGCCGAGCAUGGUGUACGUCUUGCCGCUGCUCGUCUGCCCGUAGGCGAAAAUGCUCGCUGCAAAGCAAAGAGCAUGCAAGCAAGCAGGGAACAUCAAACAUUUUUACAGCAUUGGAUGGAUGUAUGGAUGGAUGCUUUGGCA